GGCAGGGCCGGAUGCUGCUGCUGGUGGCCGCUUUUGGCUUGGUGCUGCAGGGGCCUUGUGCCAACACACUGCGGAACUUCACCCAGGCCAGCGAGGCUGUGGCCUGUGGGGCAGAGCUGGCCCUGAACCAGACUGCUGAGAUGCUGGAGAGGGCCCGGCAGCCCCUCGUCAGUGCCCUGCACAAGAUUAAAGCGAUUGCCCAGAGGGCCAAAGUGGUGGCCGACCGGGUGCGCAAGUUCUUUCGGGCCAUCAUGGACGGCGUGAAGCACGUGGCCAGGGCCCUGCGCAAUGUGUGGUACUGGCUGCUGCACAUCGGCGACGUGUGCAAACGCAGAGCUGGGCAACCGUAUUCAAGUGUGCGCGGGUCUUCGACAACGCCAAGGACAAGUGUGUGACAGUCAUUCCCCGCGCCUACCACCUGUGCUACACACUCAUGCCGUUCAAGCUCGUGCUCUGCGGACUUGCCAGCCUGGUCCAGGUGUUCUGCGUCAUCCCUGAGUACAUCCAGCCCUUCUUGCGCAAGACCAUCGGCACCCGAAAAUGGAGGCCAGCAAGGGGAGGCGGCUCAGCAAAGAUGGGCUGCAGAGCAGCGACCCUGCCCCCAGCCCAGGUCCCUGAGGUCGCUCAUGGGCCAGGUGCACACUCAGGUGUGCAGGCUUGGUCCCCUGCGCCGUCCACCACACACCCACGCUCUGGGGGUUCCGGCUGCUCCCCAGGGACACCUCUGCCCCCCCCGUCUCUCUCUGGCCUCCCACCCUGCUUUCCCCAGGGACACUCCUGCCCCCCCAUCUGUCUGCUCCCCCUGCCCUGCUCCCCAGGGACACCCCUGCCCCCCAUCUGUCUGCUCCCCCCGCCCUUCUCCCUCAGGGACACCCCUGCCCCCCAUCUCUCUCUGCUCCCCCUGCCCUGCCCCCCAUCUCUCUGCUCCCCCUACCCUGCUCCCCAGAGACACUCCUGCCCCCCCAUCUCUCUGCUCUCCCCCUGCUCCCCCAGAGACACUCCUGCCCCCCCAUCUCUCUGCUCUCCCCCUGCUCCCCCAGGGACACCCCUGCCCCCCAUCUCUCUCUGCUCCCCCUGCCCUGCUCCCCAGGGACACCCCUGCCCCCCAUCUCUCUGCUUCCCCCCUGCUCCCCCAGGGACACCCCUGCCCCCAUCUCUCUCUGCUCCCCCUGCCCUGCCCCCCAUCUCUCUGCUCCCCCUGCCCCCCAUCUCUCUGCUCCCCCUGCCCUGCUUCCCCAGGGACACCCCUGCCCCC
rnacentral:lncRNA from 1 species